rnacentral:RNase_P_RNA from 1 species
ACAGUCGGCCGGUCUGUCGCUCGUGGAGCCGUGUUGAAAUACCGGCUACGGGAUGUGUUUGGAAAUGGAUGAAGUGCAAGGCGUCCGAGACCGAAGGCUGGGGGAGUGUGCUAAGGCACGUGACCGCAGCCUGAGAGUCGAAGGCAACGCAGCAAUUCGCCAUUUACAUCCCCCGAGAGGAAAGUCCGGGCAACACAGGGCACCAUCCUUCCUAACGGGAAGCUGUCGGCGACGGCAGAGCAAGCGUAACAGAAAAGAACCGCCGGGCGCAUAGCGCUCGGUAAGGGUGAAAAGGCGAGGUAAGAGCUCACCGCCCCCGUCGGAAUACGGGGGGACAGUACGCCUGAUGGGUUGUAAGGUCAUGUAUACCGGCGCAUCAAGGGCUGCCCGCCCAAUGCCGGGGGGUAGACUGCACAGAGCCUGUCGGCAACGGCAAGGCCAAGAUAAAUGACAGACGCACCGCCGCUCCCCGCGGUGGCGUACAGAACCCGGCUUAUAGGCCGGCUGUCCCU